rnacentral:rRNA from 1 species
UGCCAGCAGCCGCGGUAAUACGUAGGGAGCAAGCGUUGUCCGGAAUUAUUGGGCGUAAAGGGUGCGUGGGCGGUUUAUCAAGUCAGAUGUGAAAUACCCAGGCUUAACUUGGGAGGUGCAUUUGAAACUGGUGAACUUGAGUAAAGAAGAGGUAAGUGGAAUUCCUAGUGUAGCGGUGAAAUGCGUUGAUAUCAUCAGGAACACCAGAGGCGAAGGCGGCUCACUGGGUCUUUUCUGACGCUGAGGCACGAAAGCAAGGGUAGCGAACAGGAUUAGAUA